UCUUUUAAAGGACAGCAGGAAUCCAUUGGCCUUAGGAGUCAAAACCCUUGGUGCAACUCCAAGUAAAAGAA
rnacentral:tRNA from 1 species